GGGUUGUGAGGUUAAGCGACUAAGCGUACACGGUGGAUGCCCUGGCAGUCAGAGGCGAUGAAGGACGUGCUAAUCUGCGAUAAGCGUCGGUAAGGUGAUAUGAACCGUUAUAACCGGCGAUUUCCGAAUGGGGAAACCCAGUGUGAUUCGUCACACUAUCAUUAACUGAAUCCAUAGGUUAAUGAGGCGAACCGGGGGAACUGAAACAUCUAAGUACCCCGAGGAAAAGAAAUCAACCGAGAUUCCCCCAGUAGCGGCGAGCGAACGGGGAGCAGCCCAGAGCCUGAAUCAGUGUGUGUGUUAGUGGAAGCGUCUGGAAAGGCGCGCGAUACAGGGUGACAGCCCCGUACACAAAAAUGCACAUGCUGUGAGCUCGAUGAGUAGGGCGGGACACGUGGUAUCCUGUCUGAAUAUGGGGGGACCAUCCUCCAAGGCUAAAUACUCCUGACUGACCGAUAGUGAACCAGUACCGUGAGGGAAAGGCGAAAAGAACCCCGGCGAGGGGAGUGAAAAAGAACCUGAAACCGUGUACGUACAAGCAGUGGGAGCACAGAGCAAUCUGUGUGACUGCGUACCUUUUGUAUAAUGGGUCAGCGACUUAUAUUCUGUAGCAAGGUUAACCGAAUAGGGGAGCCGAAGGGAAACCGAGUCUUAACUGGGCGUUAAGUUGCAGGGUAUAGACCCGAAACCCGGUGAUCUAGCCAUGGGCAGGUUGAAGGUUGGGUAACACUAACUGGAGGACCGAACCGACUAAUGUUGAAAAAUUAGCGGAUGACUUGUGGCUGGGGGUGAAAGGCCAAUCAAACCGGGAGAUAGCUGGUUCUCCCCGAAAGCUAUUUAGGUAGCGCCUCGUGAAUUCAUCUCCGGGGGUAGAGCACUGUUUCGGCAAGGGGGUCAUCCCGACUUACCAACCCGAUGCAAACUGCGAAUACCGGAGAAUGUUAUCACGGGAGACACACGGCGGGUGCUAACGUCCGUCGUGAAGAGGGAAACAACCCAGACCGCCAGCUAAGGUCCCAAAGUCAUGGUUAAGUGGGAAACGAUGUGGGAAGGCCCAGACAGCCAGGAUGUUGGCUUAGAAGCAGCCAUCAUUUAAAGAAAGCGUAAUAGCUCACUGGUCGAGUCGGCCUGCGCGGAAGAUGUAACGGGGCUAAACCAUGCACCGAAGCUGCGGCAGCGACGCUUAUGCGUUGUUGGGUAGGGGAGCGUUCUGUAAGCCUGCGAAGGUGUGCUGUGAGGCAUGCUGGAGGUAUCAGAAGUGCGAAUGCUGACAUAAGUAACGAUAAAGCGGGUGAAAAGCCCGCUCGCCGGAAGACCAAGGGUUCCUGUCCAACGUUAAUCGGGGCAGGGUGAGUCGACCCCUAAGGCGAGGCCGAAAGGCGUAGUCGAUGGGAAACAGGUUAAUAUUCCUGUACUUGGUGUUACUGCGAAGGGGGGACGGAGAAGGCUAUGUUGGCCGGGCGACGGUUGUCCCGGUUUAAGCGUGUAGGCUGGUUUUCCAGGCAAAUCCGGAAAAUCAAGGCUGAGGCGUGAUGACGAGGCACUACGGUGCUGAAGCAACAAAUGCCCUGCUUCCAGGAAAAGCCUCUAAGCAUCAGGUAACAUCAAAUCGUACCCCAAACCGACACAGGUGGUCAGGUAGAGAAUACCAAGGCGCUUGAGAGAACUCGGGUGAAGGAACUAGGCAAAAUGGUGCCGUAACUUCGGGAGAAGGCACGCUGAUAUGUAGGUGAAGUCCCUCGCGGAUGGAGCUGAAAUCAGUCGAAGAUACCAGCUGGCUGCAACUGUUUAUUAAAAACACAGCACUGUGCAAACACGAAAGUGGACGUAUACGGUGUGACGCCUGCCCGGUGCCGGAAGGUUAAUUGAUGGGGUCAGCGCAAGCGAAGCUCUUGAUCGAAGCCCCGGUAAACGGCGGCCGUAACUAUAACGGUCCUAAGGUAGCGAAAUUCCUUGUCGGGUAAGUUCCGACCUGCACGAAUGGCGUAAUGAUGGCCAGGCUGUCUCCACCCGAGACUCAGUGAAAUUGAACUCGCUGUGAAGAUGCAGUGUACCCGCGGCAAGACGGAAAGACCCCGUGAACCUUUACUAUAGCUUGACACUGAACAUUGAGCCUUGAUGUGUAGGAUAGGUGGGAGGCUUUGAAGUGUGGACGCCAGUCUGCAUGGAGCCGGCCUUGAAAUACCACCCUUUAAUGUUUGAUGUUCUAACGUUGACCCGUAAUCCGGGUUGCGGACAGUGUCUGGUGGGUAGUUUGACUGGGGCGGUCUCCUCCUAAAGAGUAACGGAGGAGCACGAAGGUUGGCUAAUCCUGGUCGGACAUCAGGAGGUUAGUGCAAUGGCAUAAGCCAGCUUGACUGCGAGCGUGACGGCGCGAGCAGGUGCGAAAGCAGGUCAUAGUGAUCCGGUGGUUCUGAAUGGAAGGGCCAUCGCUCAACGGAUAAAAGGUACUCCGGGGAUAACAGGCUGAUACCGCCCAAGAGUUCAUAUCGACGGCGGUGUUUGGCACCUCGAUGUCGGCUCAUCACAUCCUGGGGCUGAAGUAGGUCCCAAGGGUAUGGCUGUUCGCCAUUUAAAGUGGUACGCGAGCUGGGUUUAGAACGUCGUGAGACAGUUCGGUCCCUAUCUGCCGUGGGCGCUGGAGAACUGAGGGGGGCUGCUCCUAGUACGAGAGGACCGGAGUGGACGCAUCACUGGUGUUCGGGUUGUCAUGCCAAUGGCACUGCCCGGUAGCUAAAUGCGGAAGAGAUAAGUGCUGAAAGCAUCUAAGCACGAAACUUGCCCCGAGAUGAGUUCUCCCUGACUCCUUGAGAGUCCUGAAGGAACGUUGAAGACGACGACGUUGAUAGGCCGGGUGUGUAAGCGCAGCGAUGCGUUGAGCUAACCGGUACUAAUGAACCGUGAGGCUUAACCUUACAACGCCGAAGCUGUU
rnacentral:rRNA from 1 species